CAAUAGCGUAUAUUAAAGUUGUUGCAGUUAAAAAGCUCGUAGUUGGAUCUGUGGUGUGCGGUGGGCUCCGGGCACUUGUUGUCUGAGUAGCUCGCCGCUGCCAUCCUUGGGUGGAACCUGUGUGGCAUUAGGUUGUCGUGCAGGGGAUGCCCAUCGUUUACUGUGAAAAAAUUAGAGUGUUCAAAGCAGGCUUAUGCCGUUGAAUAUAUCAGCAUGGAAUAAUGAGAUAGGACUUUUUCGCUAUUUUGUUGGUUUGCGCGAAGAGGUAAUGAUUAAUAGGGACAGUUGGGGGUAUUCGUAUUCCAUUGUCAGAGGUGAAAUUCUUGGAUUUUUGGAAGACGAACUACUGCGAAAGCAUUUACCAAGGAUGUUUUCAUUAA
rnacentral:rRNA from 1 species